UUAUACUUUAAAGUGUACUCCCUUCUCUAUCCUAUCAUGAGGACUGGACAGCCUCCACAGAGAUGGCUGGACAAAGCAAGGGAAUUUACUUAGGUAAGACACCAUUUCUCUUUACUCUGAAAUCCCUGCAAAUGUGGUUAUUCCAGAGGAGACUGUGCAAUGACUGAUGGGUUUAGCAUCCUACAUGAGGGGAAAUUGCCAUUCCCAGCUGUAAAAUGAACAAAUAUCCAGUU
rnacentral:lncRNA from 1 species